UGGGGAAUCUUGGACAAUGGGGGCAACCCUGAUCCAGCCAUGCCGCGUGAGUGAUGAAGGCCUUAGGGUCGUAAAGCUCUUUCGCCUGUGAAGAUAAUGACGGUAGCAGGUAAAGAAACCCCGGCUAACUCCGUGCCAGCAGCCGCGGUAAUACGGAGGGGGUUAGCGUUGUUCGGAAUUACUGGGCGUAAAGCGCACGUAGGCGGACCAGAAAGUUGGGGGUGAAAUCCCGGGGGCUCAACCCCGGAACUGCCUCCAAAACUAUUGGUCUAGAGUUCGAGAGAGGUGAGUGGAAUUCCAAGUGUAGAAGUGAAAUUCGUAGAUAUUUGGAGGAACACCAGUGGCGAAGGCGGCUCACUGGCUCGAUACUGACGCUGAGGUGCGAAAGUGUGGGGAGCAAACAGGAUUAGAUACCCUGGUAGUCCACACCGUAAAACGAUGAAUGCCAGUCGUCGGGUAGCAUGCUAUUCGGUGACACACCUAACGGAUUAAGCAUU
rnacentral:rRNA from 1 species